rnacentral:lncRNA from 1 species
GCGGAAGGAGCCUGGAAAAUAGCCAGCAUGACAAGCUAGAUAAGCGCCUUCCAAUCCUAUUCAAAGAAGCUUCUCUUUACACCAAUGCGGACCGUUACAGAGCACCACAGCUGGACAUAAGAGGGAGACAAUGGUUCCCGGGAACCCGAGUGCCCGUGGGCAGAGCAUCAUCACAGCUCCUGCAUCUCUGGCCCAGGAAACACAGAGGAAGAGGUGGUGGGAAGACUACCAGGAAGUCUGCCAUGAGACUGUCUCUCAUAGAAAUGGCUGCACAAACAGGACCAGAACAACGGGCAGUAUCAGGUGAAAUGGUAACGUGGAAGCCGGUAAUCUCAUGCCGUUCAUUUCCUAGGCAAAGACCCACAGACAAUAAUUGCUAAGAGAGUGAAAAUUAGCUUCUCCCUGAGACGAUCCCCCGGAGAUAGCCACCCCGAAGUCACACCCUCACAAUCAACACACACAGCCGCAGCAGACUGUACUUACAUAUCUGCAUGUCUCAAUAGUCAUCAAAGAAAAAGAGGCUGUCCAUUUGAGAGCAAGGGAGGGGACAGUGAAAGGGUUGGAGGCAGGGGACGCGGGAGGGGUUGGAGAGAGGUUAGGAAAAGCAGGGAGUGAUGCAAUUACCCUUUGAUUAAAAUGGAUUAAACUUAAUAUAGUAAAGUAAUUCUACCCUCUGCC